rnacentral:rRNA from 1 species
UACGUAGGUGGCAAGCGUUGUCCGGAUUUAUUGGGUUUAAAGGGUGCGUAGGCGGUUCUUUAAGUCAGUGGUGAAAUACUCCGGCUCAACCGGAGAGGUGCCAUUGAUACUGAAGGACUUGAGUACAGACGAGGUAGGCGGAAUUGACGGUGUAGCGGUGAAAUGCUUAGAUAUCGUCAAGAACACCGAUAGCGAAGGCAGCUUACUAGACUGUAACUGACGCUGAGGCACGAAAGUGUGGGGAUCAAACAGG